GAUGAAGAACGUAGCGAAAUGCGAUAAGUAGUGUGAAUUGCAGAAUUCAGUGAAUCAUCGAAUCUUUGAACGCACAUUGCGCCCCUUGGUAUUCCAUGGGACAUGCCUGUUCGAGCGUCAUUUACACCCUCAAGCCCUGCUUGGUGUUGGGCGUUUGUCCUCCAGCGACUACCGCGUGGACUCGCCUCAAAGGCAUUGGCAGCGGUCCUGCCGGGCCUCCUAAUCGCGCAGCACUGUUCGCGCUUCUUGGAGCCCGCGCGGAUUCGGCGUCCAUCAAGGCCCAAUUUUCUGAACUUGACCUCGGAUCAGGUAGGGAUACCCGCUGAACUUAAGCAUAUCAAUAAGCGGAGGA
rnacentral:misc_RNA from 1 species